rnacentral:tRNA from 1 species
GCCGAUGUAGCUCAGCCGGUAGAGCAACGCAUUCGUAAUGCGUGGGUCAGCGGUUCGAAUCCGCUCAUCGGCUCCA